GACACGUGGGCCCACAUCUAACCAAAAUGUAUCGGAAGCUGAAAACCUACAGCUUUUACCGAUUCAAGUCCAAAUGAAGGUCCUUGUCAAAGUCAGCUAACUAUGGAAUUCUCCAAGCCUAAAAUGUGAGGAAAUGAGGGUGGUGAGAUUAUAAAAUCCCAGUGAGUAAACAGACACCAUCUAAACUAUCUAAAGGCGAGUAAAUAGAGACAAGUUAAAAUAAGUCAUCAUACUGUAAUUUCAUUACCUUUCAACUCAUUUCACCCAAAUAAACAAAUAGGCUUAUGAUUUCUUGAAAAGUUUGGCUCGUGCCAAAAAUCAUUCUCAUACUCAGUUAUCAAGGAUACCUUGAUCGAGGGUUAUCCCAACCGAGUCAGCCAAGGCUGUUAAAUGUCUUUACCUCAAGAAAUACUUCAUCCAACAUCUCCCCCCCGGAGGUAAAUAUAUAAUUGGGUUACUGUGCCCCUCUCAUAGGCAGUCCACGGAAACCCCCACCACUACAGUGACUAUGGAUUAUUUUAUCUACCAC
rnacentral:lncRNA from 1 species